CCGGCGACCGGCGCACGGGUGCGUAACGCGUAUGCAACCUUCCCAUUACAGGAGGAUAGCCCGGGGAAACCCGGAUUAAUACUCCAUGGUAUCAUUAAUUCGCAUGUUUUAAUGAUUAAAGAUUUAUCGGUAAUGGAUGGGCAUGCGUAUGAUUAGCUAGUUGGCGGGGUAACGGCCCACGAAGGCAACGAUCAUUAGGGGUUCUGAGAGGAAGGUCCCCCACACUGGAACUGAGACACGGUCCAG
rnacentral:rRNA from 1 species